rnacentral:rRNA from 1 species
GGGCCCGCACAAGCGGUGGAGUAUGUGGUUUAAUUCGAUGCAACGCGAAGAACCUUACCAGGGCUUAAAUGUAGUGGGACAGGUCUAGAGAUAGACCCUUCUUCGGACUCAUUACAAGGUGCUGCAUGGUUGUCGUCAGCUCGUGCCGUGAGGUGUCAGGUUAAGUCCUAUAACGAGCGCAACCCCUAUCGUUAGUUGCCAGCGGGUAAUGCCGGGAACUCUAGCGAAACUGCCGGUGCAAACCGUGAGGAAGGUGGGGAUGACGUCAAAUCAUCACGGCCCUUACGUCCUGGGCUACACACGUGCUACAAUGGUCGGUACAGAGAGCAGCCACUACGCGAGUAGGAGCGAAUCUUCAAAACCGAUCUCAGUUCGGAUCGCAGUCUGCAACUCGACUGCGUGAAGCUGGAAUCGCUAGUAAUCG